AGUGAACGCUGGCGGUAGGCCUAACACAUGCAAGUCGAACGGCAGCACAGUAAGAGCUUGCUCUUACGGGUGGCGAGUGGCGGACGGGUGAGGAAUACAUCGGAAUCUACUUUCUCGUGGGGGGUAACGUAGGGAAACUUACGCUAAUACCGCAUACGACCUACGGGUGAAAGCAGGGGAUCUUCGGACCUUGCGCGAUUGAAUGAGCCGAUGUCGGAUUAGCUAGUUGGCGGGGUAAAGGCCCACCAAGGCGACGAUCCGUAGCUGGUCUGAGAGGAUGAUCAGCCACACUGGAACUGAGACACGGUCCAGACUCCUACGGGAGGCAGCAGUGGGGAAUAUUGGACAAUGGGCGCAAGCCUGAUCCAGCCAUACCGCGUGGGUGAAGAAGGCCUUCGGGUUGUAAAGCCCUUUUGUUGGGAAAGAAAAGCAGCAGGUUAAUACCCCGCUGUUCUGACGGUACCCAAAGAAUAAGCACCGGCUAACUUCGUG
rnacentral:rRNA from 1 species